UCCAUUACACUACCCUGCCUCUUCUCCACGAGAGGCAGCGGGGUGUAGUGGAUA
rnacentral:pre_miRNA from 1 species